AGCAAAUGUUCAUUUUUGUGUGAAAUAUCCCUUUAAAGUUAGCCAUUUGCUCAAACCAUUAACCAUAAGAGUUAUUUUGAGCCACACGCUAUUGAGUUUAGCGUCCAAAUAAUGAUCUACGUAAGCUAAAUAAUGUCCUUUUGCUUUACUUUUCAUAAAAUGUCUUACUUGAUGUUUGCAUUUGUUUGGCCUUUAUUAGUUCUCAGCGCUCACCUCUCAGAAAGUGGCUCCAGACCGUUCAAGCACGACAGCCGUAAUGAACUUAAUAACCGUGAAAUGAAGUUUUGUGAUCUAUGGAGAGGAGUAGAGUUUCUAUCAGAUCUGUGCCAGAUUUUGACAGUGUAAAUGUAGCCUGUUCUCAGAUCUCGGGCCCUCGGCUCCACAGAUGAAUCGUGGGCUGUGAUCUUCGUCCCUGGCAGGGCUUCAGCUCGCCCUCAUGUCUGCCAUCUGAUUCUACACCUGCCAAACAACAUGACCUCAUCGGCACGGCACGUUUCCCAGUUACACCUGGACACAGAGAAAGACAUUGACAAAGGCAUGAAGAGAAGCAAAAAAGAAUGAAAUCCGGGACCUGAAAAUUAUUUAUCUUCUUUUGUCAGCCCAUCAGAGAGAUCGUCGUUAGCCCUGUUUAAGCAUUUCAACAUCGGCUGGAUUGGCUCUUGAUUUGACUCUGAAGAGGCUGAGAGUGACAGAGAUGUGUGAAUGUCCCAGCAGAGGAUUCGAUCUGCACCGCAGGCCAAGUGUGCUGAAAUACACCCUUUAAUCUGCCAAUUAUCACUUGAUACAGCGAGUGCUUUUGAAGAAGAACUAAUCGUUGGAUUUGCCAAAGUUUGCCAUCAGGUUAGUGAUAUCAGUGUUCUAGAAUAUAUUCUGUUUGGGUUUUGUCUUUGUGUUUUCUGUGCAAGUAUUCACAAAU